rnacentral:rRNA from 1 species
GACGUAGGGCGCGAGCGUUGUCCGGAUUUACUGGGCGUAAAGAGCGCGCAGGCGGUCGUUCAAGUCGCGUGUGAAAGCCCCCGGCUCAACUGGGGAGGGUCACGCGAUACUGAUCGACUCGAAGGCAGGAGAGGGUAGUGGAAUUCCCGGUGUAGUGGUGAAAUGCGCAGAUAUCGGGAGGAACACCCGUAGCGAAGGCGGCACUCUGGACCGGUACUGACGCUGAGGAGCGAAAGCGUGGGGAGCAAACAGG